rnacentral:rRNA from 1 species
AACGAACGCUGGCGGCAGGCUUAACACAUGCAAGUCGAGCGCCCCGUAAGGGGAGCGGCAGACGGGUGAGUAACGCGUGGGAAUCUACCCAUCACUACGGAACAACUCCGGGAAACUGGAGCUAAUACCGUAUACGUCCUUCGGGAGAAAGAUUUAUCGGUGAUGGAUGAGCCCGCGUUGGAUUAGCGAGUUGGUGGGGUAAUGGCCUACCAAGGCGACGAUCCAUAGCUGGUCUGAGAGGAUGAUCAGCCACACUGGGACUGAGACACGGCCCAGACUCCUACGGGAGGCAGCAGUGGGGAAUAUUGGACAAUGGGCGAAAGCCUGAUCCAGCCAUGCCGCGUGAGUGAUGAAGGCCCUAGGGUUGUAAAGCUCUUUCACCGGUGAAGAUAAUGACGGUAACUGGAGAAGAAGCCCCGGCUAACUUCGUGCCAGCCGCCGCCGUAAAAC